UGUGUGCGAGUCAUGGGUCUCGAAUAAGCCCAGAGGCGCAAUGAAAGCGAAGGCCUGGAGGACUCCGGCCGUGUCGGGAUCCCCGCUCCACCGCGUGCGGGGCGCACCGACGACCCGCCCCGAUCCACUCGUGGAUGAGGCGGAGUCCGAGCGCACACGUUCUGACCCGAAAGAUGGUGAACUAUGCCUGGACAGGACGAGGCCAGAGGAAACUCUGGUGGAGGUCCGUAGCGAUUCUGACGUGCAAAUCGAUCGUCAGAUCUGGGUCUAGUGGCGAAAGACUAAUCGAACCAUCUA
rnacentral:rRNA from 1 species